UGUGAACUAUAUCUUAAUUUUUUAAGAAACCAGGGGAGAUAAGACUUGUUAAAGACACUUAUAGAUACGACAAGCAGAAAGGAUGCUUAUAAAAAACCUGACCUAUAUGAGCCAAGAAGAUGAAGAAAUGAAAUGAAACAUUCUCCACUCAAACUCAUACAAUAUCCUGUUAAAGCUGAAGCUAAAGAAGGACCAAAGUCAAUAGUCAAAGGUCCAAUGGAGAAAGGACUCAUCAUGCCAGGCACCAGCUCUUACAACACCCCACACUCCUGGUGAUACAGUACAGCCAACAACAACAGCAGCAACCCAGUCAAACACAGAGGGAAAAACAAAAGCCGCUACUGUUUAGAGAUGUAGAUUUCCUUAGGACCCCUGGACUGUAAAUAGAAUAGUCAGCCCCUCCUUCCUUGUAGUACCAAACACAAAUGCUAGUUUGUCUCCGCUGCCUACUGAGAGUGCCUGUUUUAUAUUUGUACAUCGUGUUUGCUGUCUUCCACAGUGCCUUUUAUCAAUAUAGCAAAUGUUGGUUUGCUUCUCCUGGGAAAAUCGACAACACAUCUACCCCAUUUUGCCGCAAGGAUGAACUGAAACGGUAUCAGUUUUUCUCAACUCUGACCUGAAGGACCUUAAAUUUCCCUGUGAUUCUAUUCCCAUAUAAUAUGUUGAUGACCUUUUGUUGUGUUGGAAAGAUGAGAUGGCUAAUGUAUUCAGUCAACACUGACGGAGAAAUGUCACUAAAAUUGUUAAGGUUGGUGGGCUCUCUGAAGCGUGUAUUUCAUUUGUCACCAGUGGAAGUUUGGUGCAACAGUAAACGCUUUUCAUAUGGAGGAUGUGAUCUUUAGCUAAUCUGGCCACUCUCAGCUCCUUGCUGGGAAAGAGACUGCAAAUCUGCCGUAACUUUUGCAUGAUCAUUUGUUUUGUAAAUCUCAUUACAACUUUGCUGCUUGAUCAGUGUUUCAUGAGUUUUUAAAGAUAUAAAUCUACCAUAUUUAGGGAAAAAACAACAAGAACAACAAAACUCCAGUGAACACAUGAUCGCGUCUACAAAAGUAGCCUAAUUCCAGACAAAUUGAAAAGACCUUAGCACCGCCACCUUUGUCUCCAGUGAAAAAUGAGCCCCAUUUGAUGACUGACCUUCCAAACAACCACAGCUUCCACAGAAAAGUACCAGGCUCUGUGGGCCACAGCUGUUACCUUAGAAGAGUCAUCACUCGGGCGCUCAGGGGAAAACUAGCUCUGCUGAUCAGGCUGUGUUGACAGAACCCUCAACAAUACAAUAAAAUAAAAUGGAUGCUUGUAAACCCUGAGUGAGAGCUUUGAUUAGACACGAAGGUGAGUGUUUGUGUUCCUGAAGACAGCCAGUUGUGCCGUGCCCCAAGAAUACUGGCUGUUAACAUCCUCAGUUACGGGAGAGACAAGGCAGAUGCCUCUCGCCGCCCUCCCUCCAGAUGCAUACGCAAGGAAAAUGCAUGAAUACUCAUGUUUAUAGAAUAGAACUGUGGCUGAGGGCACAUUCUGUUGUUUGGAGAAGUGAGUUAGCAUCUUCAGUCUGUUUGUGGCUUCUUGUCAAUGCUCAUGCGGCGGGAACGGAUGGUGUGUUUCCCAACUUACGGAUGCCCCUCGGCCUUUACCAUCUCCAAGCAGUCCUCUGCU